rnacentral:rRNA from 1 species
UACGUAGGGGGCAAGCGUUGUCCGGAAUCAUUGGGCGUAAAGCGCGUGUAGGCGGCCCGGUAAGUCCGCUGUGAAAGUCGGGGGCUCAACCCUCGAAUGCCGGUGGAUACUGUCGGGCUAGAGUGCGGGAGAGGCGAGUGGAAUUCCUGGUGUAGCGGUGAAAUGCGCAGAUAUCAGGAGGAACACCGAUGGCGAAGGCAGGUCUCUGGGCAUUAACUGACGCUGAGGAGCGAAAGCAUGGGGAGCGAACAGG